rnacentral:rRNA from 1 species
GAUCAUGGCUCAGGAUUAACGCUGGCGGCGUGCAUAACACAUGCAAGUCGAACGAUGAAACUCAUUAGACUUCUUCGGAAUGACAAUGAAUGGAUUAGUGGCGAACGGGUGAGUAACGCGUGAGUAACCUGCCUUACACAAGGGGAUAGCCUCUGGAAACGGAGAAUAAUACCCUAUGAUAUUGCAACUUCGCAUGAAGCAGUAAUCAAAGUGUUAGCGGUGUAAGAUGG